rnacentral:ncRNA from 1 species
CAAAAGCUUGGUCCUGGCUUUAGUGUCAGCUCUGAUCUAAAUUACACAUGCAAGUAUCCGCGCCCCCGUGAGAAUGCCCUAACAGCUCCCCGCCCGGGAGCAAGGAGCUGGUAUCAGGCACAGCCUCAGCCUAGCCCAUAACACCUUGCUUAGCCACACCUCCAAGGGAAUUCAGCAGUGAUAAACAUUAAAUAUAAGCGAAAGCUUGAUUUAGUCAGGGUCAUGAGGGCUGGUCAAUCUCGUGCCAGCCACCGCGGUUAUACGAGGUAGCCCAAGUUGACACUCAUUCGGCGUAAAGGGUGGUUAGGUAAGAAUUUUAAACUAAAGCCGAACGCCUUCAAAGCCGUUAAAAGUGUAUGAAGGUAAGAAGCACAUCGACGAAAGUGGCUUUAUUACAUCUGACUCCACGAAAGCUGAGGAACAAACUGGGAUUAGAUACCCCACUAUGCUCAGCCUUAAAUACUGAUAUUUCAAUACAUUAACAUAUCCGCCCGGGUAGUACGAGCACCAAGCUUAAAACCCAAAGGACCUGGCGGUGCUUUAGAUCCAUCUAGAGGAGCCUGUUUCAGAAUCGAUAUUCCCCGCUAAACCUUACCCACCCUAGCUAAAUGUUCAGUCUGUAUACCGCCGUCGCAAAUUUACCCUGUGAAGGGAGAAUAGUAAGUUUAGCCAGUACAGCUAAGUACGUCAGGUCAAGGUGCAGCAUAUGGGUGGGGAGAAAUGGGCUACAUUUCCUAAUGCAGGAUAAACGAAAAGUGGACUGAAAUGUCUUACUAGAAGGAGGAUUUAGCAGUAAGUAGGAAAUAGAGUGUCUUACUGAAACAGGCUCUGAAGCGUGCACACACCGCCCGUCACUCUCCCCAGCAAAGGCUUAUUCAAUAAGUAAUAAAAAAACUGGCAAAGGGGAGGCAAGUCGUAACAUGGUAAGUGUACCGGAAGGUGCACUUGGUAAAC